UACGUAGGGGGCAAGCGUUAUCCGGAUUUACUGGGUGUAAAGGGAGCGUAGACGGCCAUGCAAGUCUGAAGUGAAAGCCCGCGGCUCAACUGCGGAACUGCUUUGGAAACUGUAAGGCUGGAGUGCUGGAGAGGCAAGCGGAAUUCCUAGUGUAGCGGUGAAAUGCGUAGAUAUUAGGAGGAACACCAGUGGCGAAGGCGGCUUGCUGGACAGUAACUGACGUUGAGGCUCGAAAGCGUGGGGAGCAA
rnacentral:rRNA from 1 species